GCUCGGGUGGCGGAAUUGGCAGACGCGCUAGGUUGAGGGCCUAGUGGAGUAAAAUCCGUGCGGGUUCAAAUCCCGCUCCGAGUACCA
rnacentral:tRNA from 2 species